UUAUUUUUAAUUCGGUUCGGUUCGGUUUUAAUUUUCUGAAAAAUCGGUGAUUUCGGUUCGGUUCGGUUUUAGAUUCAAAAAUUUCGAUUAGACCGAACCGAACCGAAAUCACUAAACUACGUCGUUUUGAAAUGUACCCUUAUAUUUGCCCUAAAUCUAAAAGCCUGAGUCACGCUACCCAUCUCCAUUCCACGCCGCCUCGCGAAUUAGCAACGUUGACGACUCCUCACCUCACUGUCGGCGUCGGUCGUCACUCUCCACGGAAUCGUCGGCGUCGGUCGUCACUCUCCACGCGGCGCAUACCUUCGUCUCUCUCAAACCAAAUCCCUAAUCUCCAUCCUUCGCGUCUUCAAUCCGUAGCCACAGCCACCCACCCCAGUCGCUAGUCCCACAGCCACCCACCGGCCACCCACCCUGCCACCCUUCGCGUCUCUCUCUCACGGCCAUCGCUCGCGUCUCUCUCUCUCAUAGCCGUCGCUCGCGUCUCUCUCUCUCAUAGCCGUCGCUCGCGUCUCUCUCUCUCAUAGCCGUCGCUCGCGAGACUCACUGUGAUUCACAACACUCUAAAUACUCAAAGAAGGUUCAGUUGCUCAGUCUCACCGUGUUGGUAGAGUUAGCUCAGACAGGAGCAAUCAGAGGGCACAUCAGUUCAGCCAGAGUAAAGUGGUUCCCAUGCAGUAUCUGAUGAAGAAAAUCAUCAAUUUUGGUGCUCGACGAUGUCCCUAGUGGGUUUAAAUACUUCACUCUAUAUGGUGAUGCUAUGAUACAAAUAUCAGCUAAAUUGUUCAUUAUAAGGCAGUGGAAGCAAGGAAUUCCUUAGAUAUUUCAACUAGUAAAGAUGCUUCUUUCUAUCACUUUGUGAAACCACCAGCGAACCUUGUUGUUCUUGAAGAUGAUUGCUUGGAUACCAGUGGUGAUGGUGGAGAAUUAGAAUCAUACCUGAUCUAUGCGAUUCUGUGAUAGUGGAUGAUUUUUUGAAGAUCGAUGAAACUAAAAAAAGUACCAAACAGUAUUCAUAGGAGAAGCUCAACUUGCAAGAGCUUUCGGUCCCCCACAAGACUUCGAGAGAAUUGCACACAACUAUCACUUAGAAAGAACCUGGAUGAAAAUCUCAACCAACCUCCUAUGGAUGAUUACAGUGUUGGAGUGAAUAACUGUAAUGUGGAGCCCAUAUGAAUAUGAUGAUGACAAAGAUUGAACUCGAAACAUAUGCAAGUUAAAUGUCUGAUGGCUAUCACUAAAAAGAAAAUUUUAUUUUUAAAAUUUUUGCUAAUCGCGACUGAUUGAAAUUUAGUAGAGCCACCAUAUGCUUUAACUAGGGUUGUGCAUGGUUUUGUGAGUUCUAAUUGAGUAUAUGAAAAAAAAA